rnacentral:rRNA from 1 species
UACGUAGGGUGCGAGCGUUAAUCGGAAUUACUGGGCGUAAAGCGUGCGCAGGCGGUUUUGUAAGCCAGAUGUGAAAUCCCCGGGCUUAACCUGGGAAUGGCAUUUGGGACUGCAAGGCUUGAGUGCGGCAGAGGAGACUGGAAUUCCUGGUGUAGCAGUGAAAUGCGUAGAUAUCAGGAGGAAUACCGAUGGCGAAGGCAGGUCUCUGGGCUGACACUGACUCAUGCACGAAAGCGUGGGGAGCAAACAGG